GCACCUAGUGUAAUGGUAACAUGUCAGGCUCAUGACCUGGUGUUGGGGGUUCGAUUCCCUCGGUGCG